AAAUCAGUAUGGAAGUAAAGCUGAAGGAAGAGCUUAAAGCAGAAAUGUGUUCCUAUUGACAAGGCAACAAUUGAAUCAAACCAAACAGAGCAAAGAGUGGAGGAAAAUGGAGGAAGUCAUGGACAUAACAGAAAACAUAUGACCUAAUACCUGCAGAUUUUGAAUUCAUAUCAUCAGUGCAUCUAAAUUGGUCAAAAGAUGAAAGAUCUCAGCAUAAAUUGUUCAAUCAUGCAAUGCAAAGCAUAUCCUGUCAAAUGGAGAUUACCCUACCUUAAAGUGUCAAGUAUCUCAGAAAUUGGACUAUUUGCAAUACUGUUCAGGAAUAUUUUACAUAUGUCAGUACAUUUAGCAAUAGGGCCUGUUGCACCAUGCCAAGGUACAGAAGUGAUGCUUCAAGCUGUCGACGGCAUUCCAAAGGAAAAGGAUGAAACUUUAGUUUAGCUCACCUGAGCCGAAGGCUCAAGUGAGCUUUUUAUGAUCGAAAUAUGUCCAUUGUCUGUCGUCGUGGUUGUAAACUUUUCACAUUUUCAUCUUCUUCUCAAGAACCACUGUGCCAAUUUCAACCAAACUUGCCACAAAGUAUCCUUUUGUUCAAAUGAAGGGCCACACCUUCUUCCAAGGGGAGAUAAUCAUGAAUUUGUGAAAAAUUGAUGGCAUCACCUAAAAACUUGUCAAGAACCACUGUGCUUGAAAAUAUGAAACUUAUAUGGAAGCAUCCUCAGGUAGUGUAGAUCCAAGUUUGUUUAAAUCAUGACUUCCGGGGGUAGGGUGGGGCCACAAUGGGUGAUCAAAGUUUUACAUAGGAAUACAUAGGAAAAAGCCUUUUAAAAUCUUCUUCUCAAGAACAGCAAAGCCAUAAUUAGUCAUAUUUAAAUGGAAGCACCC